rnacentral:snRNA from 1 species
GUAGCGGAUAGAAUUACUAAG